UUCCUGUCAAAUCCCAUCUUAACCACCUCUUGAAGAAUCUCUUCAUCGAUCUUCUUUGCUUGUUGGGUUGUAUCUGGUGGAGGCACGGCCAAAUAGCGUGGCAAAUGAGCUUGGAACCAAGGGUGCAGGCGAAUCUCAGGAAUAGUCAUUCGCUUCAUUGGGUCGACUAUAAGCAUCCUCGGAAUCAAAUCCCUCGCACCAGCUGAUAAAUGGCUGGGCAGAGUAUAUAUUCCACCCUUUAUUUUCUUAAAAAGAUUGGGUAUGUUUUCAUCGUCAAACGGAAGGGUGCCACAGAGAAGAGCAUAAAGAAUAACACCACAGCUCCAUACAUCUACCUCAGGGCCAGCAUACAAUUUACCUGAUAUAACCUCUGGGGCAGCAUAGUUUGGGCUUCCGCAACUUGUCUUCAGAAAAUGACCAUCGCGCAUGAUAUUGCUCAAACCAAAAUCUGCGAUCUUCACAUUCCAUUUGGAGUCCAGAAGGAGGUUUUCAGGCUUAAGGUCUCUAUGAACCACCAUGUUUCUAUGGCAGUACUCCACACCAGAAAUUAUCUGCUGAAAAAAGUUACGAGCUUCAUCCUCCUGCAAUCUGCCCUUCUCAACAAUGUAAUCAAAUAACUCGCCAGAUUUCACAUACUCCAUCACAACAUAUAUAUCUGAUGGUGUCUCUAUGACCUCAUAAAGCCGUAUAACAUGAGGAUGCAGCAGAAAGU
rnacentral:misc_RNA from 1 species